GGGUUGUGAGGUUAAGCGACUAAGCGUACACGGUGGAUGCCCUGGCAGUCAGAGGCGAUGAAGGACGUGCUAAUCUGCGAAAAGCGUCGGUAAGGUGAUAUGAACCGUUAUAACCGGCGAUGUCCGAAUGGGGAAACCCAGUGCAAUUCGUUGCACUAUCGUUAACUGAAUACAUAGGUUAACGAGGCGAACCGGGGGAACUGAAACAUCUAAGUACCCCGAGGAAAAGAAAUCAACCGAGAUUCCCCCAGUAGCGGCGAGCGAACGGGGAGCAGCCCAGAGUCUGAAUCAGCUUGUGUGUUAGUGGAACGGUCUGGAAAGUCCGACGGUACAGGGUGAUAGUCCCGUACACCAAAAUGCACAGGUUGUGAACUCGAAGAGUAGGGCGGGACACGUGGUAUCCUGUCUGAAUAUGGGGGGACCAUCCUCCAAGGCUAAAUACUCCUGACUGACCGAUAGUGAACCAGUACCGUGAGGGAAAGGCGAAAAGAACCCCGGCGAGGGGAGUGAAAAAGAACCUGAAACCGUGUACGUACAAGCAGUGGGAGCACCUUCGGGUGUGACUGCGUACCUUUUGUAUAAUGGGUCAGCGACUUAUAUUCUGUAGCAAGGUUAACCGUAUAGGGGAGCCGCAGGGAAACCGAGUCUUAACUGGGCGUUAAGUUGCAGGGUAUAGACCCGAAACCCGGUGAUCUAGCCAUGGGCAGGUUGAAGGUUGGGUAACACUAACUGGAGGACCGAACCGACUAAUGUUGAAAAAUUAGCGGAUGACUUGUGGCUGGGGGUGAAAGGCCAAUCAAACCGGGAGAUAGCUGGUUCUCCCCGAAAGCUAUUUAGGUAGCGCCUCGUGAACUCAUCUUCGGGGGUAGAGCACUGUUUCGGCUAGGGGGUCAUCCCGACUUACCAACCCGAUGCAAACUACGAAUACCGAAGAAUGUUAUCACGGGAGACACACGGCGGGUGCUAACGUCCGUCGUGAAGAGGGAAACAACCCAGACCGCCAGCUAAGGUCCCAAAGUCAUGGUUAAGUGGGAAACGAUGUGGGAAGGCACAGACAGCCAGGAUGUUGGCUUAGAAGCAGCCAUCAUUUAAAGAAAGCGUAAUAGCUCACUGGUCGAGUCGGCCUGCGCGGAAGAUGUAACGGGGCUAAACCAUGCACCGAAGCUGCGGCAGCGACACUAUGUGUUGUUGGGUAGGGGAGCGUUCUGUAAGCCUGCGAAGGUGUGCUGUGAGGCAUGCUGGAGGUAUCAGAAGUGCGAAUGCUGACAUAAGUAACGAUAAAGCGGGUGAAAAGCCCGCUCGCCGGAAGACCAAGGGUUCCUGUCCAACGUUAAUCGGGGCAGGGUGAGUCGACCCCUAAGGCGAGGCCGAAAGGCGUAGUCGAUGGGAAACAGGUUAAUAUUCCUGUACUUGGUGUUACUGCGAAGGGGGGACGGAGAAGGCUAUGUUAGCCGGGCGACGGUUGUCCCGGUUUAAGCAUGUAGGCUGGUUAUCCAGGCAAAUCCGGAUAAUCAAGGCUGAGGUGUGAUGACGAGGCACUACGGUGCUGAAGUAACAAAUGCCCUGCUUCCAGGAAAAGCCUCUAAGCAUCAGGUAACAUCAAAUCGUACCCCAAACCGACACAGGUGGUCAGGUAGAGAAUACCAAGGCGCUUGAGAGAACUCGGGUGAAGGAACUAGGUGGUAUUUAAAGUGGUACGCGAGCUGGGUUUAGAACGUCGUGAGACAGUUCGGUCCCUAUCUGCCGUGGGCGCUGGAGAAUUGAGGGGGGCUGCUCCUAGUACGAGAGGACCGGAGUGGACGCAUCACUGGUGUUCGGGUUGUCAUGCCAAUGGCACUGCCCGGUAGCUAAAUGCGGAAGAGAUAAGUGCUGAAAGCAUCUAAGCACGAAACUUGCCCCGAGAUGAGUUCUCCCUGAGACUUUAAGUCUCCUGAAGGAACGUUAAAGACGAUGACGUUGAUAGGCCGGGUGUGUAAGCGCAGCGAUGCGUUGAGCUAACCGGUACUAAUGAACCGUGAGGCUUAACCUUACAACGCCGAAG
rnacentral:rRNA from 1 species